rnacentral:rRNA from 1 species
GCUUGACUGUAUCUUGGAAUUGGGUUCGGGCUUUUCUUGCGCAGACUAGGUGGGAGGCUAUGAAGAUUUUCUUCUGGGAAAGUUGGAGCCAACAGUGAGAGACCACUCUGGAAAGGCUAGAAUCCUAAUGGUGAUCCUUGAAUCAGGACAGCUUGACAGUUUCAGGUGGGCAGUUUUUCUGGGGCGGAAGCCUCAUAAAAGGUAACUGAGGCGCGCAAAGGUCCCCUCAGUCUGGACGGAAAUCAGACAUUGAGUGUAAAGGCAAAAGGGGGCUUGACUGCAAGACCCACAAGUCGAGCAGGGGCGAAAGCUGGCCUUAGUGAUCCGACGGUGCCGUGUGGAAGGGCCGUCGCUCAACGAAUAAAAGUUA